rnacentral:misc_RNA from 1 species
CGAGCUGAUUCCGCGUAUUAUGACACACACAAUUAAGCAACGGUCUACAGUAUAGAUGAGAUUUUAAUAACGUAAACUCGCAAUUUUACAGCUUUAAUCAGCUAACCCAGCCUUCAUCUUCAAGUGUGCCUUGAAGUCCAUAAUGUCACCCUCCCACUUGGUUACAGCUUGAUUCUCACACACCCAUAUCUCCUGUGCCACUUGGUUUAUAAGCCUAAAAUCAUGGCUUACAAGAACCAAACCUCCAUCCCACUCAUUCAGUGCCUCCGCCAAUGAAUCGAUAGUCUCGAUAUCCAAAUGAUUUGUGGGCUCAUCGAGCAAUAAUAAGUGGGGUUGUCUCCAUGCUAGCCAGGCAAAUAUAACACGGCUCCUCUGCCCAUCAGACAAAUUCUUCAUUGGCAUCACUUGAGCUUUACCGGAGAGCCCAAACUUCCCAAUUGCUCCUCUCAUCUUUUCUUCUUCAUUUCCUGGGUACUCUUUAAUCAUAAACUGGAGAGCAGACAGUUCCAAGUCUAGUUUCUCAGCUAAAUGCUGAUGAAACUGGGCAAUUCUAAGGUGAUUAUGUCGUCGGACCAUGCCAUCUAGAGGAACCAGGUCCCCUGUCAUUAGCUUCAACAGGGUACUCUUUCCAGCACCAUUGGGUCCAACCAAAGCUACCCGAGAGUCCAAAUCAACUCCAAAGUCAAGAUUCUUAUAGAUGAGAUUCUCAGGGGUAUAGCCAAACGUUACUUCCACAAACUGGAGAACCGGAGGGGGAAGCUUUCCAACGUCAACAAAGCGGAACACAAGAACCUUGUCUCUCACCACCUUUUCAGUAAGCCCACCCCUCUCCAUUUUUGCCAACGUUUUCUCCUUACUCUGCGCCUGCCGAGCUAAUUUUG